UACAACUUUCAUCAACGGAUCUCUUGGUUCUGGCAUCGAUGAAGAACGCAGCGAAAUGCGAUAAGUAGUGUGAAUUGCAGAAUUCAGUGAAUCAUCGAAUCUUUGAACGCACAUUGCGCCCCUUGGUAUUCCAUGGGGCAUGCCUGUUCGAGCGUCAUU
rnacentral:rRNA from 1 species